AGUAGUUGAUCAGUGGCUACGAGGACGAACGCUGGCGGCGUGCUUAACACAUGCAAGUCGAACGGUAAGGCCCUUCGGGGUACACGAGUGGCGAACGGGUGAGUAACGCGUGAGUAACCUGCCCUUCACUCUGGGAUAACAGUUGGAAACGGCUGCUAAUACCGGAUAUUCAGCUCCUGUCGCAUGGUGGGGGUUGGAAAGUUUUGGUGGUGGAGGAUGGGCUCGCGUCCUAUCAGCUUGUUGGUGGGGUGAUGGCCUACCAAGGCGUCGACGGGUAGCCGGCCUGAGAGGGCGACCGGCCACAUUGGGACUGAGAUACGGCCCAAACUCCUACGGGAGGCAGCAGUGGGGAAUAUUGCACAAUGGGCGGAAGCCUGAUGCAGCAACGCCGCGUGCGGGAUGACGGCCUUCGGGUUGUAAACCGCUUUCAGCAGGGACGAAGCGUGAGUGACGGUACCUGCAGAAGAAGCACCGGCUAACUACGUG
rnacentral:rRNA from 1 species